AUGAAAGAUCUGGGAGAAGCCGAUGUAAUUCUAAAUAUCAAACUUAUUAAGGAUGAGAGUGGGAUUACAUUAACGCAAUCUCACUAUGUUGAGAAGGUCUUGAACCGAUUCGGUUUUAUGGAUAGCAAGCCUUCUCCAACACCUUAUGAUCCCAGCGUGACACUCAGAAAGAACAAGAAAGAAACGAGAGAUCAAUUAAGAUACUCUCAAAUUGUCGGUUCACUCAUGUACUUAGCUAGCGCUACAAGACCAGAUAUCUCUUUCGCUGUGAGCAAACUGAGUAGUGGGUAUGUAUUUACUCAUGGUGGUGGCGCAGUGUCAUGGAGGUCUUGCAAGCAAACCAUAUUGACGAGGUCAACUAUGGAAGCAGAAUUAACUGCUUUGGACACAGCUACUGUUGAGGCAGAAUGGCUGCGUGAGCUCUUGAUGGACUUGCCGAUUGUUGAAAAACCUGUACCGGCUAUUCUUAUGAAUUGUGAUAACCAAACGAGCAGUCUUGAAAGAACACACCUAUAUGAGUUCUGA
rnacentral:rRNA from 1 species